UACAAUGGCCGGUACAGAGAGACGCAAGGCUGCGAAGCGGAGCAAAACUCUAAAACCGGUCCCAGUUCGGAUUGCAGGCUGCAACUCGCCUGCAUGAAGUUGGAGUUGCUAGUAAUCGCGGAUCAGAAUGCCGCGGUGAAUGCGUUCCCGGGUCUUGUACACACCGCCCGUCACACCAUGGAAGUUGGGGCGCCCGAAGUUGGUCAAGAAGAGAUUACCUAAGGCGAAACCAAUGACUGGGGUGAAGUCGUAACAAGGUACC
rnacentral:rRNA from 1 species